UGAACGCUGGCGGCGUGCCUAAUACAUGCACGUCGAGCGAACAGACGAGGAGCUUGCUCCUCUGACGUUAGCGGCGGACGGGUGAGUAACACGUGGAUAACCUACCUAUAAGACUGGGAUAACUUCGGGAAACCGGAGCUAAUACCGGAUAAUAUAUUGAACCGCAUGGUUCAAUAGUGAAAGACGGUUUUGCUGUCACUUAUAGAUGGAUCCGCGCCGCAUUAGCUAGUUGGUAAGGUAACGGCUUACCAAGGCGACGAUGCGUAGCCGACCUGAGAGGGUGAUCGGCCACACUGGAACUGAGACACGGUCCAGACUCCUACGGGAGGCAGCAGUAGGGAAUCUUCCGCAAUGGGCGAAAGCUUGACGGAGCAACGCCGCGUGAGUGAUGAAGGUCUUCGGAUCGUAAAACUCUGUUAUUAGGGAAGAACAAAUGUGUAAGUAACUAUGCACGUCUUGACGGUACCUAAUCAGAAAGCCACGGCUAACUACGUG
rnacentral:rRNA from 1 species